GGUGGCAUAGUGGUUAGAGCGUCCGCCUCGGAUGCGGGAGGUUGUGGGUUCAAUACGCGUUAGAAUCA